UACGUAGGUGGCAAGCGUUGUCCGGAUUUACUGGGCGUAAAGGGCGUGCAGGCGGUCUGUUAAGUGCAGGGUGAAAGCUCCCGGCUCAACUGGGAGAGGUCCUUGCAUACUGGCGGACCUGAGGGGGGUAGAGGAAAGUGGAAUUCCCGGUGUAGUGGUGAUAUGCGUAGAUAUCGGGAGGAACACCUGUGGCGAAGGCGGCUUUCUGGGCCCUACCUGACGCUGAGACGCGAAAGCGUGGGGAGCGAACCGG
rnacentral:rRNA from 1 species